ACGAAGGGUGCAAGCGUUACUCGGAAUUACUGGGCGUAAAGCGUGCGUAGGUGGUGCGUUAAGUCUGUCGUGAAAGCCCCGGGCUCAACCUGGGAAUUGCAUCCAAAACUGUCUGACUAGAGUACGGUAGAGGGUAGUGGAAUUUCCUGUGUAGCGGUGAAAUGCGUAGAUAUAGGAAGGAACACCAGUGGCGAAGGCGACUACCUGGACUGAUACUGACACUGAGGUGCGAAAGCGUGGGGAGCAAACAGGA
rnacentral:rRNA from 1 species